AAUCAACGCUGGCGGCGUGCCUCAGACAUGCAAGUCGGACGCGAAAGUCUCCUUCGGGGGACAAGUAGAGUGGCGCACGGGUGAGUAACACGUAGGUAAUCUACCUUCGGAUGGGGAAGUAACAACCGGAAACGGUUGCUAAUACCGCAUAAUGCAGCGGCACCUAAUGGUGACAGUUGUUAAAGCGGGGGAGUCGAAAGACCUCGCGUCUGAAGAGGAGCCUGCGGCGGAUUAGCUAGUUGGUAGGGUAACGGCCUACCAAGGCGACGAUCCGUAACCGGCCUGAGAGGG
rnacentral:rRNA from 1 species